GACGAACGCUGGCGGCGUGCUUAACACAUGCAAGUCGAACGAAGAGCGACGGAAGCUUGCUUCUAUCAAUCUUAGUGGCGAACGGGUGAGUAACGCGUAAUCAACCUGCCCUUCAGAGGGGGACAACAGUUGGAAACGACUGCUAAUACCGCAUACGAUCUAAUCUCGGCAUCGAGGAUGGAUGAAAGGUGGCCUCUACAUGUAAGCUAUCACUGAAGGAGGGGAUUGCGUCUGAUUAGCUAGUUGGAGGGGUAACGGCCCACCAAGGCGAUGAUCAGUAGCCGGUCUGAGAGGAUGAACGGCCACAUUGGGACUGAGACACGGCCCAGACUCCUACGGGAGGCAGCGGUGGGGAAUCUUCCGCAAUGGACGAAAGUCUGACGGAGCAACGCCGCGUGAGUGAUGACGGCCUUCGGGUUGUAAAGCUCUGUUAAUCGGGACGAAAGGCCUUCUUGCGAAUAGUGAGAAGGAUUGACGGUACCGGAAUAGAAAGCCACGGCUAACUACGUG
rnacentral:rRNA from 1 species